rnacentral:rRNA from 1 species
GGAUGAACGCUGACAGAAUGCUUAACACAUGCAAGUCUAUGAGAAGAUCUACUUCGGUAGAAGGUUAUCAAGGCGGACGGGUGAGUAACGCGUAAAGAACUUGCCUCUUAGACUGGGAUAACAGAUGGAAACGUCUGAUAAGACUAGAUAUAAUAAUGACAUGGCAUCAUGUUGUUAUGAAAGGUAACACUAAGAGAGAGCUUUGCGUCCUAUUAGUUAGUUGGUGAGGUAAUGGCUCACCAAGACGAUGAUAGGUAGCCGGCCUGAGAGGGUGAACGGCCACAAGGGGACUGAGAUACGGCCCUUACUCUUACGGGAGGCAGCAGUGGGGAAUAUUGGACAAUGGAGGAAACUCUGAUCCAGCAAUUCUGUGUGCACGAUGAAGGUUUUCGGAUCGUAAAGUGCUUUCAGUAGGGAAGAAGAAAGUGACGGUACCUACAGAAGAAGCGACGGCUAAAUACGUGCCAGCAGCCGCGGUAAUACGUAUGUCGCAAGCGUUAUCCGGAAUUAUUGGGCGUAAAGGGCAUCUAGGCGGUCAAUCAAGUCGAAGGUGAAAACUUGUGGCUCAACCAUAAGCUUGCCUACGAAACUGAUUAACUAGAGUACUGGAGAGGUGGACGGAACUACACGAGUAGAGGUGAAAUUCGUAGAUAUGUGUAGGAAUGCCGAUGAUGAAGAUAGUUCACUGGACAGAAACUGACGNNGAAGUGCGAAAGCUAGGGGAGCAAACAGGAUUAGAUACCCUGGUAGUCCUAGCUGUAAACGAUGAUCACUGGGUGUGGGCAGGAAGACUGUCUGUGCCGAAGCUAACGCGAUAAGUGAUCCGCCUGGGGAGUACGACCGCAAGGUUGAAACUCAAAGGAAUUGACGGGGGCCCGCACAAGCGGUGGAGCAUGUGGUUUAAUUCGAAGCAACGCGCAGAACCUUACCAACCCUUGACAUGGCGAUCGCGGUUCCAGAGAUGGUUCCUUCAGUUCGGCUGGAUCGCACACAGGUGCUGCAUGGCUGUCGUCAGCUCGUGUCGUGAGAUGUUCGGUUAAGUCCGGCAACGAGCGCAACCCACACUCUUAGUUGCCAUCAUUCAGUUGGGCACUCUAGGAGAACUGCCGGUGAUAAGCCGGAGGAAGGUGUGGAUGACGUCAAGUCCUCAUGGCCCUUACGGGUUGGGCUACACACGUGCUACAAUGGUGGUGACAAUGGGUUAAUCCCAAAAAGCCAUCUCAGUUCGGAUUGGGGUCUGCAACUCGACCCCAUGAAGUCGGAAUCGCUAGUAAUCGCGUAACAGCAUGACGCGGUGAAUACGUUCCCGGGCCU